ACGCGGCGCGGAGCCGGGAACAGCGCCCCCCUCCCCCUGCGGCGGGGGCGGGAACAGCCGCUGAGGGGAGUAGGGGGGGCGCCUUGAGGGGGUCGCUGAGGGAGGACGGGACCCCCGCGCCAAAGUUUGGGGAAACUUUCCCCUGGUUUGGGGCCGGGGCCGCGCCUCAGCCCCGCGCUCCCGCUGCGGGCAGGGAGCGCCCUCAGAGUGGCCGCGGGGCCGCCCGUGCCCCCUUUCCCUCUGCCAGCGCACCUGGGCUCUCCUCCCUCGCUCCCUCCGUGCCCGCGGCCGCGCUCCCUGCGCCCCGCAGAUAAGGCCGGGGCUCGCCCCACCCGCGGGGCACCGCGGGCUCGCCGUGCUGGAUAAGCGGAGCCGCCGCCUUCAGGGAAGUUUGCCCCGUGUUUCCUCCCCUCGCUCACAGCUCGCCCGCGGGUGUGGUGACUUCGCACAGGACCCCACAAAUCCCAGCACACGCUCUCGAGAGCCCUGCGGGGAGCUGCGGUCCCGGGCGUGCCCCCCCCUCCGGCCCUGCCCUUAUCCCGGUGACACUCGUGUCCUCCUAUUAACCCUGUGGAGAGGGGACAAAAGCUAAACUAUGAUCCUGCGCUGCUUCCCCCCCAUCCCGCUGCCGGCUGCGUGAGCUUCACAUCCUCCUGCUAAGGCUGAAAGGAACAAGAACAAGAGCUGCUGAUGGUUGAACAGGAAGAGGUGGUGGAUGCAAGGAAGCUCAGAACAGUGGGAUGGAAAACAUCUCCAGUGGGCAGGCGCCUAGGACAGAAGAUCCCAGCUCUGGUUUGCUGCUAUUUUGCUGAAGCAGCUCAGACUCUCCCUCCCUCAUGGCCAGAGUGGAAAAGCACGUUUAAAUCCCGAGCUCGCCUUUCCCACGUGGUGUCUCGCUGAGCCGCUGUCACAGCCACGCUGCACUCUCACAGGGCACCGGAGCUUCUGCCCUGCCCUGCCGGGGAGGCACAAGGAGGCAGCCUUCAUCGAGCGAGGAAAGCAAAUCUUGGCAAGAAGAGCGCCGAAGGAUGUGAACCCCUUGGAAAAUUCCACUUCCUGCCCGGCACUGCGUGUCCUUGGGUCUCUCACUCAUUCCCAUGCACUUAACGAGGGAUUUCUGCCUCAGGCUACCACACCAACUUUCUAAAUAAAUGCUGCGCACACCCGAGCGCGGUGCUCUGCAGUUAAUCUCAGCCCAGCACCAGCUCUCUCUCCUCUCUUCCUACUUCCCUCCAUUUUAUUUCUCCGCUGGUUUUUCUCUCCAGCAGGCUCCAACUCUCUCUCCUGCGGAACUUGCCGGGAACAAAAGGCUCCGUUCCCGAUCCAGCCCGCAGUUGCCGUGAGAAACUUCCUCGCCAGCGCUGUCUGUCGCUCCGCUCUCCCUCCCUCGCUCCCUCCCUGCCUCGGGAAAAUGGCAGUGCAAGAGCCUGAUAAAAAGGGGGAAAAAACCCUCCUUUCUCAGCGCCUGCCUCUCCCGCAGCACCUCCCCUCCCCAGCCGUGACGCCUGAACUCAAACUUCUCUAAAAAUACACUUUAGGAGGGUAGAUUUUCACGGGAGGGGAUUGUUUUUUACACCCCACCGAAAAGAGGAGCCGAGGUGGGGGAAAGGCCGAGGGACAGCUUUUUGCAGACAGGAGAACCUGCUCUGACCCUUCCCGCACGGCAUCGCCAGGUCCCAAGGACUAGGAACACAAUAAGUUUUCCUUCAGUGGGAAAAUCCAGGCCCAGAGUUCAGGUCUUUCUCUUUUCGCAGCUUUAAAAGCCUUUUCUUUCCCCCUUUUUUAAACUCUUCACAGUGGGGUUCACAGCAGAACGCGGUCACUCUGCCAACCCACCCGAGAGCUCCCAAAUCUGGUGGGAUUCAGGGAAAACAGACGGUUGGCUCCGGAUCCAGUGCAGGGGUUUUUGCAAACUCCAGUCCGCGUUUUGAUUUUCUUUUUUGCCCUUUUUUUUUUUUUUUUUUUUUU